rnacentral:lncRNA from 1 species
GUCCCCUUCCACCACGCAGAAGCUUUACUUUCGCUUUCACUUUACUUUUGCUUUCACUUUAACAAAUCUUGCAGCCGCACACUCUUUGGGUCCGCCCGUUUCUCUAAUCAAGUUGUAACACUCGCUGCUGUGGUCCACAGCUUCAUUCCUUGAAGCCCGUGAGACACGAACGCUUCCAUUGAGAAAAACCUUCCAUCAGAAGAAGACUUCUCGUCUCAGUGGGACUGCUGAGUUGAAUGGUACCUCUGUUUUAAGUUCUCUGAAAAGUCUCCAAACUGCUUUUUAUAGUGGCUGAACUAAUUUUCAUUCUCACCAACAGUGUAUAAAUGUUCCUUUUUCUCUAGACUCGCCAGCAUAUGUUGUUUUUUGACUGUAGAGUAAUAGCCAUUGUAACUGGUUUAAGAUGAUAUAGCAUUGUGGUUUUGAUUUGCAUUUCCCUGAUGAUUAGUGAUGACAAGCAUUCUUUCAUGUUCGUUGGCCGCUUGUAUGUCUUCUUUUAAGAAGUGUCUGUACAUGUCCUUUGCCCAUUUUUUAAUGUAUUCUGUUUUUUGCUUGUUGUAAGUUCCUUACAGAUUCUGGAUAUUAGGCAUUUGUUGGAAUAUGAGCAUCAGGUGGAUGAUAUAUUAACAAAAAAAUUAAUUUUUCGGUAAUUUUAAGAAACUGAAAUGCUCACACUUCAGAUGUGAGAGAAUAAUCUACAUACUCAAAGUGGAGCAGAUUUAUGUAUUUCACAUGCCAGCUGAUCAUCUCUAGUAAAAAUAGACCCCGUUGUAUUAGAGACAAAUACUUCAAAGAAAAUCUUUUGACAAUAAAGUACAACUUUCUACUUUCUGACCUAAAUCUUCACCUUUCAGUCCUGGAGAGUAUUUAUCGUAAUCUUUUUUUCAGGGUGAUGCACCGAACUACCCAGUUCUCUCCCUUAGGAGUUUUCCUCUUUUUUCAAACCUGAGAAGCAAAAGUGCCAUAACAAUUGUGAAACGAUUCAGAAGAAGAAUGUCAGCUUUUGACAAGUCAACUUUUAUCUCACUUGAAGGGACAGGAGGAAAUCAGCAGAUGAAAGGAGAAUUGAU